rnacentral:rRNA from 1 species
GACGAACGCUGGCGGCGUGCUUAACACAUGCAAGUCGAACGGAAAGGCCCUGCUUUUGUGGGGUGCUCGAGUGGCGAACGGGUGAGUAACACGUGAGUAACCUGCCCUUGACUUUGGGAUAACUUCAGGAAACUGGGGCUAAUACCGGAUAGGAGCUCCUGCUACAUGGUGGGGGUUGGAAAGUUUCGGCGGUUGGGGAUGGACGCGCGGCUUAUCAGCUUGUUGGUGGGGUAGUGGCUUACCAAGGCUUUGACGGGUAGCCGGGCUGAGAGGGUGACCGGCCACAUUGGGACUGAGAUACGGCCCAGACUCCUACGGGAGGCAGCAGUGGGGAAGAUUGCACAAUGGGCGGAAGCCUGAUGCAGCAACGCCGCGUGCGGGAUGACGGCCUUCGGGUUGUAAACCGCUUUCGCCUGUGACGAAGCGUGAGUGACGGUAAUGGGUAAAGAAGCACCGGCUAACUACGUG